rnacentral:lncRNA from 1 species
GCAUUUGCUUAGAGGAGACGAAAGACAGGCAAUGCCGAGGCAAAUGAUCGUACUGAUCUUUGUCAUUAUAUCUGGGUUAAAGUAAAUUUUCCUCUUUAAGUAGCAGCCUACGUCUAAUCCAAAGCAGUCUCUCAUCUUGCUGAAGGAUUGUUUUCUCCCUCCUGCCAGGGAAGAGACAUGUUCCAGAGCUGGCACCUAAGAAGGAAAGCGCAGACGAUUUGCUUUCCGAGCCUCGUGCCUCAACGCUGGAGCUGCGAGGUGGCCUCUGCUCCCUGGCGCUGCUGCUCCCAGCAUCCCCGCGCUGAGGAUGGUGCAGAUCUCCAGAUGUGGUGUGAAUCCUAACGCUCAGAGGAUGUUUUAGGUUUGUGACUAGCAAGAGGAUUUAUGGUGCUAAGCAAGUGUGAGCAACCUUGAGCCUUCCUGUGGGUUGUUGCAUAAUUCAUGGAAAAAUCCCAAAUGGAACAGGUGAAGUAUGGCCUGGUUUUCAGCCUGCAUUGCUGGCAAUUAAUAACUGCUUAAGCAGCCAUCUGGAUCUACCUGCUAUACCAGAUGAAUAAGAUGUUGCAAAAGCAUUGGGAUAAAAAUGCUUCCUUGAAGUUAUCACUUUGAAGUAACCUUUAGAAGUGACCUAAUACAACAGUAUUUCUU